GCGGCGGGUGAGUCGUGCAGCAGCUGCUCCAGGCAGGUGGUGCUGGGCAGCGACGAGCUCUUCUGGUGGGACAGACUGAAAGCUACCAGCUUACAUUUUCCCAGAGGUGCCUGGAGGCUAUUGAGGGCCCUUGGAAUCUGUUGAGGGUGCCUCGAGGCUAUCCAAGGGUGCCUUGCAUCUGAAACUGUUGAGAGCUGCUACCUCACUCUGUUUGACCUGCCUUGGGAAGACUGGGUGACUGGUGCCUCCUGAGACUGGGGGGGAGCACAGUUUGUGGGCUGCAGCGGCGGCAGCGGCCGCACACAGAAGCCGCCGGCAGUGUCAGCAGUGGCCAGUCUCAGGGGAGGGCACAUGCCCCCCCUACCAGUCGCCUCUGUUGAGAUUCAUUGGGGCCCUAGGCCUGGGACCCCCCAACCCAUGUCCUGCCUCACAGCCGCAGGCUCAUCCCCCAUUGGCGCAGCAGGAACAGCAGCUGGAGCUGGAUGCAUUGCCCCCAGGCCUGGGGCAGGAGUUGUGGCUGCCCCUGCCCACAGGUCUGCCCUGCAGCUAGCAUCAGGGGUAUGGAGCCACUGCCCACCAGGCGUACGCAGUGCAGACCAAGCUCCAGGGGCAGCCCCUCACCCUGCUGCAGCUCAGUCCAGCUGCAGCAGCAACUGGCAAAUGGGGUCCAGCAGCCAUAGCCUGCUGCAUCACGCAUGCCUGGCCCAGCCACUGAUUUCAUCCACGCCAGGGCAGGGGCCCCUGAGCCUGGCCCCAACUGCCCCAUGCAUUAAUCCACCUAUACCUCUCCACAUGAUUUGUCUGCACAUCUGAUUUUCCCAACAGUGGGCACUGUGGCCACUUCCAGUUAUGUCCUCAUUGAAAGCAACCCUAUGGGAAUGUUGUUGGAGCAAUGAUGAUGACUGAUAUAGAGCCAAUCAUAGAAAGUCUUGACCUAGUAUCAGAAGUAUCCAUAGGAAACAAAAAAAUCUGCUGAUAUCCCUGGACCGAGGCCAUAUAACUUUGGGCUGUUCCAAGACAGCCAUUGUAAAGUUUCUUAACGACAAGAUAUAUUUUUUGUAUUCUGAAUACAAGAGUCGUUAUUAAAAGA